UACGAAGGGGGCGAGCGUUGUUCGGAAUCACUGGGCGUAAAGGGCGCGUAGGCGGCGCAACAAGUCACUUGUGAAAUCUCCGGGCUUAACUCGGAAAGGUCAAGUGAUACUGUCGGACUAGAGUACAGAAGGGGCAACUGGAAUUCUCGGUGUAGCGGUGAAAUGCGCAGAUAUCAGGAGGAACACCGGUGGCGAAGGCGGGUCUCUGGGCAACAACUGACGCUGAGGAGCGAAAGCGUGGGGAGCGAACAGG
rnacentral:rRNA from 1 species